AAUUCUCAACUUCAUCAACUUUGUUGUUGAAGCUUGGAUGUGGGGGUUUUGCAGGUCUGCCUUAAUUGUGUGGUCUGCUCUCCUGAAAUAUAUUAGCGGGUUGGCUUCCCUCUAUCAGUGUGAUAAUUAUCUACGCUGUGGAUGGGUUUGGCUUUCAGACCAGCUUCUAAUCGUCCUUCUAGGACAAUCUCUUGACAU
rnacentral:misc_RNA from 1 species